GUGCUCACUUCAGCAGCACAUAUACUAAAAUUGGAAUGAUACAUAAAAGAUUAGCAUGGCCCCUUCACAGAAAUGACACGCAAAUUUUUAAAGAGUUCCAUAUUUUU
ensembl:snRNA U6 U6 spliceosomal RNA